GCGGGAAUAGCUCAGGGGUAAAGCACAACCUUGCCAAGGUUGGGGUCGCGGGUUCGAAUCUCGUUUCCCGCUCCA
rnacentral:tRNA from 1 species